rnacentral:tRNA from 1 species
CGGGGAUUGGCCUAGCGGCUUAAGGCGCCACGUUCGGGACGUGGAGAUCACCAGUUCAAAUCUGGUAUCCCCGACCA